AUUCCCCUGGGGAGGAAAAGAAAAUAACCUGUUAGAAAUCAUAAAACAUGAAGAAGUUGUCAGAACUUCUAUGCUUUGAAGGUCCAUGGUAUCCAUAGAGUUAAUGAUGGAGUACGGUUGGUGGAGACCAGGAUCAGGCACCGAAAAGCAAAAGCUUGUGAGCCUCCUAUGAUUAUUUUAUCCAAUUCUACAAAGUGUACAGAGAGGAUUAACCAUCUCUAGUCAAGAAUAAAGAACUUCAGAGGGGUCGGAGAGAGAGACAACCUUGGUGAGAGAGAACUGCAGGAGGAAGGACUGGGGAGAGAGAGAGUCUGAAGAAGAAGGUGCAUUGAGGAGCAGAAAACUGCAGUGGGGAGGAGAAGGUGCAAGAGAACAGCAGGUUGGGGCGUGAAACAAGAAGUAUGAAGCUGCAGCAGAGAUGAGAAGGGUCUCUAAGAUGAUUUACCAUAGGGACAUUUCUUAUUACAUUUCUGUCAUAGUGCACCAGGCACAAUGGUGUACAUUGUGCUAAUUAACAAAUACAUAGUUUAAGCUAGCAAAAGGCAUGUCCAAGAAAAUGAUAUACCCUCUUUUGACUACAUACCAUCAG